rnacentral:lncRNA from 1 species
GGAGUGCUGUCACCGACGUCCUAAAGCCGCCGAGGGUGUUUCUGUAGGGUAAACAUGAAGCCUCGGCUAUAUUCCAGGCAUUUUCACUUGGAAACAUUUUACAUAAAGUAUUUGAAGGUCUAGAUAAAGAAUAACAGAGUGAUCCAUACCACAUGAUGAGGUAUUGUGCAGGAAAAAAAACUACUUCUGCAACUAAGGAAUGUAAAGUCUUAACAACGGAUGAUUUUUUUUCCAAGUACAGUUGUAUUUGAUUGGAAUCAUUUGCAGAUCCAACAACAAAUCUUGAAAUAGGGGGAAAAUACAGGAGCUGUCCAAACACCAUGCAGAUGCUCCUAGGAUUCUUAAACUAGCCAAAAAUAAUUCCAGGCAUUGUCAGAUAUAGGAUAAGUACAUGAAGACAGCAUUAGUCGCAGUAGCGAAGACACGGAAACAACCUAAGUGUUCACCAACAGAUGAAUGGAUGAAGCAAAUGUAGCAUAUAUACACAGUGGAAUACUAUUCAGCCUUAAAAAAGAAGGAAAUCUGGCUAACUGCAACAACAUGGAUGAACCUGGAGGAUAUUAUAUAAGUGAAAUAAGCCAGGCAUGGAAAGGUAAAAACUGAAUGUUCUCACUUAUAUGUGGAAUCUAACACAAUCAAAUUCAUGGAAGCUGGGAAUAGAAUGGUGGUUAUCGAGGCCAGGGGCUGGGAGAACAGAGAAUGUUGGUCAAAGGGUAGAAAGUUGCAGUUAGAUUUAAAAUGAUAAGUAUUUAAGCUGAUUGAUAUGUUAACUAGCUUGAUUCAAUCAUUCAACUCUGUAUACAUA